CUUCCUCCAGGGCAGGCGGUUCUUCGGUCUGCCUUUGAGCGAGAAGAUGAAGCUGCCGAGGAACGAGAAGCACUGAGGCUACACUCCUCUGUUCGAUCAAGUCCUUGACCCUGCAAAUCAGAUAAACGGUGGUGGUUGAGUCGCAUUUCCUAGAAAAGGAAGAUCAAUUUGUUAUUAUUCCUGUUUUCGGUUGUAUUCUUGGAGAGAACUGCCACUGAAUUGGGAGUUUGAAUUGCUAACACACGACCAUGAACUCAAGAGAUUAUAAGGAGGGAUACUACAUACAAGUGGAAGUACCAGAGGACGAUCCUCGUGUGUAGAAGGCUCAUUUUGGACCGAACCCCUGGCCUUCUGAGGAGUGAUUAAGGCUGCAAAGAAUGUCUCAGGACCAACAUUAUCUAACCUCCAGCUUGCUGAAGGAGAGAUUAUUCUUGAUAUAGAUGGCACUGUUCCUCUGCAACCUGUAUUGCAGCACAUUGGUAUCUUAGCUUGGCCUGAGUUCUAUCCUGACAAUCAAGUUGUGGGAAUUUAUCGUUGGGUUCCCUGGUUGACUGUGUGGAUCAUCAUCUGUUAGAUAGUGGGAAAUCAAUUGCUGGAAUGAUGAUUUGACUGUAUCGUAGCUGCUGGAGUUUGAUAAUCAUGGACCUUUUAUGUGCAAGAUUACUUCUGACUGAAUGAAUUCUUCAGCCUUGGAAACUUUUGCUUCUCAUCCAUAGCUUCCAUUUGUUAUGAGUAGAGCAAAUUUGAAUUUGAAUUUGCCAAAUGAAAUAUAUGUCCCACAUACUUCAGCUUUAAGA